AAGUCGUAACAAGGUUUCCGUAGGUGAACCUGCGGAAGGAUCAUUAACACGUAUCCAACGUUAAACCCCCUGUGAACCUUCAUUGUACGAGUUACAUCCACGUCAUAAACCGGCAAUCUCUGGUAAAUCAUCGCCGAACAGUUUUGAUUCAGAGACCUCUGGGAAGGGUGUACGGUAGUGCGAGGCAAUUGACCUGGCAUUCCUCUGCUUGUUAGUGUCUGAAAGUGUCACUAGAAUCGUUGCGAGAACCAAGAUAUCCAUUGUUAACAGUUGUUCAAGUAUUAGGUCUCAGCGCAUUUCAUGCAAAGGUUGUGAUCAGGGGGGCCGUAGCCCAGUGACCUGGUCGCCGGCCGUGUCGGCCUCCAGCGAUCGUUACUGCGCCAUCC
rnacentral:misc_RNA from 1 species